rnacentral:rRNA from 1 species
UACGUAGGGGGCAAGCGUUAAUCGGAAUUACUGGGCGUAAAGCGUGCGCAGGCGGUGUUGUAAGUCAGACGUGAAAUCCCCGGGCUUAACCUGGGAAUUGCGAUGAAGACUGCAAGGCUAGAAUCUGGCAGAGGGGGGUAGAAUUCCACGUGUAGCAGUGAAAUGCGUAGAGAUGUGGAGGAACACCGAUGGCGAAGGCAGCCCCCUGGGUCAAGAUUGACGCUCAUGCACGAAAGCGUGGGGAGCAAACAGG